rnacentral:rRNA from 1 species
UACGGAGGGGGCUAGCGUUGUUCGGAAUUACUGGGCGUAAAGCGCACGUAGGCGGUUACUCAAGUCAGAGGUGAAAGCCUGGAGCUCAACUCCAGAACUGCCUUUGAAACUAGGUGACUUGAAUCAUGGAGAGGCGGGUGGAAUUCCGAGUGUAGAGGUGAAAUUCGUAGAUAUUCGGAAGAACACCAGUGGCGAAGGCGGCCCGCUGGACAUGUAUUGACGCUGAGGUGCGAAAGCGUGGGGAGCAAACAGG